UGAGUAACACGUGAGUAACCUGCCCUUGACUCUGGGAUAAGCGUUGGAAACGACGUCUAAUACCGGAUAUGAGCUGUGACGGCAUCGUCUGCAGUUGGAAAGAUUUUUUGGUCAAGGAUGGACUCGCGGCCUAUCAGGUAGUUGGUGAGGUAAUGGCUCACCAAGCCGACGACGGGUAGCCGGCCUGAGAGGGUGACCGGCCACACUGGGACUGAGACACGGCCCAGACUCCUACGGGAGGCAGCAGUGGGGAAUAUUGCACAAUGGGCGAAAGCCUGAUGCAGCAACGCCGCGUGAGGGACGACGGCCUUCGGGUUGUAAACCUCUUUUAGUAGGGAAGAAGCGAAAGUGACGGUACCUGCAGAAAAAGCACCGGCUAACUACGUGCCAGCAGCCGCGGUAAUACGUAGGGUGCAAGCGUUGUCCGGAAUUAUUGGGCGUAAAGAGCUCGUAGGCGGUUUGUCGCGUCUGCUGUGAAAUCUGGGGGCUCAACCCCCAGCCUGCAGUGGGUACGGGCAGACUAGAGUGCGGUAGGGGAGAUUGGAAUUCCUGGUGUAGCGGUGGAAUGCGCAGAUAUCAGGAGGAACACCGAUGGCGAAGGCAGAUCUCUGGGCCGUAACUGACGCUGAGGAGCGAAAGCAUGGGGAGCGAACAGGAUUAGAUACCCUGGUAGUCCAUGCCGUAAACGUUGGGAACUAGAUGUAGGGGCCAUUCCACGGUUUCUGUGUCGCACUAAACGCAUUAAGUUCCCCGCCUGGGGGAGUACGGCCGCAAGGCUAAAACUCAAAGGAAUUGACGGGGGCCCGCACAAGCGGCGGAGCAUGCGGAUUAAUUCGAUGCAACGCGAAGAACCUUACCAAGGCUUGACAUAUACCGGAAACGUCCAGAGAUGGUCGCCCCGCAAGGUCGGUAUACAGGUGGUGCAUGGUUGUCGUCAGCUCGUGUCGUGAGAUGUUGGGUUAAGUCCCGCAACGAGCGCAACCCUCGUUCUAUGUUGCCAGCACGUUAUGGUGGGAACUCAUAGGAGACUGCCGGGGUCAACUCGGAGGAAGGUGGGGAUGACGUCAAAUCAUCAUGCCCCUUAUGUCUUGGGCUUCACGCAUGCUACAAUGGCCGAUACAAAGGGCUGCGAUACCGUAAGGUGGAGCGAAUCCCAAAAAGUCGGUCUCAG
rnacentral:rRNA from 1 species